rnacentral:rRNA from 1 species
UGGGGAAUAUUGCACAAUGGGGGAAACUCUGAUGCAGCAACGCCGCGUGAGUGACGAAGGCCUUCGGGUUGUAAAGCUCUGUCUUCACUGACGAAGUAUGACGGUAAGUGAGGAGGAAGCCACGGCUAACUACGUGCCAGCAGCCGCGGUAAUACGUAGGUGGCACGCGUUGUCCGGAAUUAUUGGGCUUAAAGGAUGCGUAGGCGGUCUUUUAAGUGGGAUGUGAAAUACCUGGGCUUAACUCAGGGAUUGCAUUCCAAACUGUAAGUCUAUAGUGCAGGAGAGGAGAGUGUAAUUCCCAGUGUGGCGGUGAAAUGCGUAGAGAUUGGGAGGAACACCAGUGGCGAAGGCGACUUUCUGGACUGUAACUGAAGCUGAGGCAUGAAAGCGUGGGGAGCAAACA